rnacentral:rRNA from 1 species
UACAGAGGGUGCAAGCGUUGUCCGGAAUUAUUGGGCGUAAAGAGCGCGUAGGCGGUCCGAUAAGUCGGCUGUGAAAGUCAAGGGCUCAACCCUUGAAAGCCGGCCGAUACUGUCGGACUAGAGUCCGGAAGAGGCGAUUGGAAUUCCCGGUGUAGCGGUGAAAUGCGUAGAGAUCAUGAGGAAGACCAGUGGCGAAGGCGGGUCUCUGGACAGUUCCUGACACUGAGGCACGAAGGCCAGGGGAGCAAACGGG